ACAAUGCCCCUUUAUUAUAUAUUUUUUUCUUGACCCUACAGGAUGCCCAGUGGUAACCAGCCUUCCAUGUGGCUAAACAGAUGCCAGUGUACCCAAAUUCUGAGACACAAUUGGAUGUUCUUUUCUUCUGCUUUUAAGAUUCCCAAUUCGAGAUGAUGUGCAGUUCAUGUUAGAUUUGCUAUUUCUAGAGUUACAGUGAAGUAGAAGAGUCUGGUUGUGUUAUGGGGCAGCAGUUAAAGAUAAAGGAUGGAGAGAUGUGUGCCAUGUUGAAGUAUCGGCUGGCUCUCCUGCCCGCUCUUCUAGAAUCCUCCAUCUCAGUCUCUGGUCUGAUUUGCUGUGCCUUUGCCAAGUGAUCAGGAGUUUAUUGCAGUGGUGCCCCCUUGCGUCUCCACCGUCUGUUACAUCAACUCCAACUGCCUGUGACAGAAGAAAAGUUCACAAGACGUCCUGAAAUGGAAUUGUGAUUGGAGUGAGACGGCCACAAUCAUGUAUGCUGGUAUGUGCAGAGGGGGCUGUUUGGGCUUUGGCUUGGGACCCCCAGAGGUUUAUUAUCUCCAUUGUCCUUGAAAGCUGCAAGUUUGUCUUUGUCCCCAGCCAUUUGACCAGGCAGUGUAUUUAUUACAAAGGACAAGGACUCCUCCAUUUACUUCUUAUUUACUUUUAUAAUAUCUUCAGUUUUCUUUGUAACUGUAUAUUUUUGUGGAGCUUUUUGAGCAACACUUGUAAGCAAAGGUGAUAUAAAAAUAUUAUCAGUGAACAAAUAUUAAAGGACAGAUAAGGAAAAAUGUCAG